rfam:Glycine soja cultivar W05 scaffold2553_7, whole genome shotgun sequence.
AGUUAGAGACAGGACAAAGCAGGGGAACAGGCAGAGCAUGGAUGGAGCUAUCAACACAAUAUUGUCAAGAAACUGAGAGUGAGAGGAGAAAUAUGUUGUGGUUCUGCUCAUGCACUGCCUCUUCCCUGGCUCUGUCUCCAUUUCUCCUU